rnacentral:rRNA from 1 species
UACGUAGGUGACAAGCGUUGUCCGGAUUUACUGGGCGUAAAGAGCGCGCAGGCGGUCGUUCAAGUCGAGUGUGAAAGCCCCCGGCUCAACUGGGGAGGGUCAUUCGAUACUGAUCGACUCGAAGGCAGGAGAGGGUAGUGGAAUUCCCGGUGUAGUGGUGAAAUGCGUAGAGAUCCGGAGGAACACCAGAGGCGAAGGCGGCCUGCUGGGCUGCACCUGACGCUGAGCCGCGAAAGCCAGGGGAGCGAACGGG